GACCAGACUCCUACGGGAGGCAGCAGUAGGGCCUCUUGCUCAAUGGGGGCCACCCUGACGCCGCCACGCCGCGUGGCGGAUGAAGGUUUUCGGAUUGUAACCUCCUUUUGUUAGCGCCGCUAAUGACGGUCUCUCACGAAUAAGCACCGGCUAACUCCGUGCCAGCAGCCGCGGUAAUACGGAGGGUGCCCGCGUUACUCGGAAUCACUGGGCGUAAAGAGCGCGGAGGCGGGAUAGCAAGUCAGAUGUGAAAGCCUAUGGCUUAACCAGAGAACUGCAUUUGAAACUGUUAUUCUAGAGUAUGGGAGAGGUAGGUGGAAUUCUUGGUGUAGGGGUAAAAUCCGGAGAGAUCAAGAGGAAUACUCAUUGCGAAGGCGACCUGCGAGAACAUAACUGACGCUGAUGCGCGAAAGCGUGGGGAGCAAACAGGAUUAGAUACCCCCGUA
rnacentral:rRNA from 1 species